AGGCCAUGCCACGUUGAAAACCCGCUCUCCUCCGAUUACCGAAGUUAAGCAAUGUCGAGCCUGUUCAGUACGUAGAUGAGUGGCUGCUUGGGAAUACCAGUUGCUGUAAG